rnacentral:rRNA from 1 species
CCUACGGGAGGCAGCAGUGGGGGAUAUUGCACAAUGGGCGCAAGCCUGAUGCAGCCAUGCCGCGUGUGUGAAGAAGGCCUUCGGGUUGUAAAGCACUUUCAGCGGGGAGGAAGGCGUUAAGGUUAAUAACCUUGGCGAUUGACGUUACCCGCAGAAGAAGCACCGGCUAACUCCGUGCCAGCAGCCGCGGUAAUACGGAGGGUGCAAGCGUUAAUCGGAAUUACUGGGCGUAAAGCGCACGCAGGCGGUCUGUCAAGUCGGAUGUGAAAUCCCCGGGCUCAACCUGGGAACUGCAUUCGAAACUGGCAGGCUAGAGGCUUGUAGAGGGGGGUAGAAUUCCAGGUGUAGCGGUGAAAUGCGUAGAGAUCUGGAGGAAUACCGGUGGCGAAGGCGGCCCCCUGGACAAAGACUGACGCUCAGGUGCGAAAGCGUGGGGAGCAAACAGGAUUAGAUACCCCAGUAGUC